AAUCUUGAUUUACCCAAUCUUUAAAAGMUAUAAUCUCUAAACUUAAAGGAUUUGGCGGUAAUUUAGUCCAGUUAGAGGAACCUGUAAUAUAAACGAUACACCACGCAAAAUCUUACCUAUUUUUUGCUUGUAUACCGUCAUUAUUAAAUAACUCUCAAAGAUAAGUUAUUUCAAUAAAUAUUAAUUUUAUAUAUUAGAUCAAGGUGCAGCCUAUAAAUAGGAACUUAUGGGUUACAAUAAAAUUUAUUUAAACGRAUAAUAAACUUAAAUAUUUUUUUGAAGGAGGAUUUAAUAGUAAAUUUAAUUUAA
rnacentral:rRNA from 1 species